GACGAACGCUGGCGGCGUGCUUAACACAUGCAAGUCGAACGAUGAAGUGGAGCUUGCUCCAUGGAUUAGUGGCGAACGGGUGAGUAACACGUGAAUAACCUGACCUUAAAUUUGGAAUAACCCAGGGAAACCUGGGCUAAUACCGGACAAGUAAACCUGUGGCAUCACAUGGUUUUGGAAAGUUUUUCGAUUAAGGAUGGAUUCGGGGCCAAUCAGCUUGUUGGUGAGGUAAUGUCUGACAAAGGCGACGACGGGUAGCCGGCCUGAGAGGGUGAACGGCCACACUGGGACUGAGACACGGACCAGACGCCUACGGGAGGCAGCAGUGGGGAAUAUUGCGCAAUGGACGAAAGUCUGACGCAGCGACGCCUCGUGAGGGACGAAGGUCUUCGGAUUGUAAACCUCUUUCAGCAGGGACGAAGCGAAAGUGACGGUACCUGCAGAAGAAGCACCGGCUAACUAUGUGCCAGCAGCCGCCGUAA
rnacentral:rRNA from 1 species